rnacentral:rRNA from 1 species
GACGAACGCUGGCGGCGUGCUUAACACAUGCGAGUCGAACGGAAAGGCCCUGCUUUUGUGGGGUGCUCGAGUGGCGAACGGGUGAGUAACACGUGAGUAACCUGCCCUUGACUUUGGGAUAACUUCAGGAAACUGGGGCUAAUACCGGAUAGGAGCUCCUGCUGCAUGGUGGGGGUUGGAAAGUUUCGGCGGUUGGGGAUGGACUCGCGGCUUAUCAGCUUGUUGGUGGGGUAGUGGCUUACCAAGGCUUUGACGGGUAGCCGGCCUGGGAGGGUGACCGGCCACAUUGGGACUGGGAUACGGCCCAGACUCCUCCGGGAGGCAGCAGUGGGGAAUAUUGCACAAUGGGCGGAAGCCUGAUGCAGCAACGCCGCGUGCGGGAUGACGGCCUUCGGGUUGUAACCCGCUUUCGCCUGUGACGAAGCGUGAGUGACGGUAAUGGGUAAAGAAGCACCGGCUAACUACGUG